rnacentral:snoRNA from 1 species
UUUCAUGAUGAUUUACACAGACCUGUACUGAAACAAAUGAGGAAAUGUGAUUACUGAAAAUGCUCUUUUCAUUAACA